GAUGAACGCUGGCGGCAUGCUUUACACAUGCAAGUCGGACGGGAAGUGGUGUUUCCAGUGGCGGGCGGGUGAGUAACGCGUAAGAACCUGCCCUUGGGAGGGGAACAACAGCUGGAAACGGCUGCUAAUACCCCGUAGGCUGAGAAGCGAAAGGAGGAAUCCGCCCAAGGAGGGGCUCGCGUCUGAUUAGCUAGUUGGUGAGGUAAUAGCUUACCAAGGCCGUGAUCAGUAGCUGGUCCGAGAGGAUGAUCAGCCACACUGGGACUGAGACAAGGCCCAGACUCCUACGGGAGGCAGCAGUGGGGAAUUUUCCGCAAUGGGCGAAAGCCUGACGGAGCAAUGCCGCGUGGAGGUAAAAGGCCUACGGGUCAUGAACUUCUUUUCCUGGAGAAGAAACAAUGACGGUAUCUGGGGAAUAAGCAUCGGCUAACUCUGUG
rnacentral:rRNA from 1 species